rnacentral:rRNA from 1 species
GACGAACGCUGGCGGCGUGCUUAACACAUGCAAGUCGAACGAUGAAGCCGGAGCUUGCUCUGGUGAAUUAGUGGCGAACGGGUGAGUAACACGUGAGUAACCUGCCCUUGACUCUGGGAUAACUGCUAGAAAUGGUAGCUAAUACCGGAUACGACCCUCGGCGGCAUCGCCAGGGGGUGGAAAGAAUUUCGGUCAAGGAUGGACUCGCGGCCUAUCAGCUAGUUGGUGAGGUAACGGCUCACCAAGGCGACGACGGGUAGCCGGCCUGGGAGGGUGACCGGGCACACUGGGACUGAGACACGGCCCAGACUCCUACGGGAGGCAGCAGUGGGGAAUAUUGCACAAUGGGCGCAAGCCUGAUGCAGCAACGCCGCGUGAGGGAUGACGGCCUUCGGGUUGUAAACCUCUUUUAGUAGGGAAGAAGCGAAAGUGACGGUACCUGCAGAAAAAGCACCGGCUAACUACGUGCCAGCAGCCGCAGUAA